rnacentral:rRNA from 1 species
CUAUUAUUUUAAGUGUUAAUUUUAGUUUACCUGGGUAAUAUUAGUUAAGGUCUUUAAACCCAAAGAAUUUGGCGGUAUUUCAUUCCAUUCAGAGGAACCUAUCUCGUAAUUGAUAGUACACGAUUAACUUUACUUGAUUUAUUUGUUUGUAUAUCUCCGUUAUCAGAAAAUCUUUUUGGAGCUAUAAUUUUCCUGUUUUUUCAUUAAAAUUUAUUUCAGGUCAAGGUGCAGCUUAUAAUCAAGUGUGUGAUGGGUUACAAUAAAUUUUUUUAUUAUGGAUUUAAUUUUGAAAUUUUUUAAUGAAGGUGGAUUUGAUAGUAAUUUAAUUUAUUUAAUUUAAUUGAUAUUGGCUCUGAAAUGUGUACACAUCGCCCC